GCCCGGGUGGUGUAGCCCGGCCCAACAUGUGGGCCUGUCGAGCCCACGCCCCGGGUUCAAAUCCCGGCCCGGGCG
rnacentral:tRNA from 2 species